rnacentral:rRNA from 1 species
CAGUUCGGAUUGCAGGCUGCAACCCGCCCUGCAUGAAGUUGGAAUCGCUAGUAAUCGCGGAUCAGCAUGCCGCGGUGAAUACGUUCCCGGGCCUUGUACACACCGCCCGUCACACCAUGAGAGUCGGGAACACCCGAAGUCCGUAGUCUGACCGCAAGGGGGACGCGGCCGAAGGUGGGUUCGAUAAUUGGGGUGAAGUCGUAACAAGGUAUC